AGGCGAUGAAGGACGUGAUACGCUGCGAAAAGCGUCGGGGAGCUGCGAAUAAGCUUUGAUCCGAUGAUAUCCGAAUGGGGAAACCUACCUUAGAUGUCUAGAAAAUUUAAGGUGUUCUUUUUGAACAUCUUAUCUUUCUAGAUAUCGAUAAAAGGUAUCUGCACCUGAAUAAAAUAGGGUGUAUGAAGCGAACGUGGGGAACUGAAACAUCUAAGUACCCAUAGGAAAGGACAUCAACCGAGACUCCGUUAGUAGCGGCGAGCGAACGCGGACCAGGCCAGUGGCAAUAGUAAGAAAAGCGGAAGCGUCUGGAAAGUCGUGCCGUAGUGGGUGAUAGCCCCGUACGCGUUAAUCGAUCUAUUGUCCUCGAGUAGGGCGGAACACGUGAAAUUCUGUCUGAACAUGGGGGGACCACCCUCCAAGCCUAAGUACUCGUGCAUCACCGAUAGCGAACCAGUACCGUGAGGGAAAGGUGAAAAGCACCCCGACAAGGGGAGUGAAAUAGUACCUGAAACUGGAUGCCUACAAACAGUGGGAGGCCGCAAGGCUGACCGCGUACCUUUUGUAUAAUGGGUCAACGACUUAGUGUAGCAAGCAAGCUUAAGCCGAUAGGUGUAGGCGUAGCGAAAGCGAGUCUUAAUAGGGCGAAUAGUUUGUUGCAUUAGACCCGAAACCAAGUGAUCUAGCCAUGAGCAGGUUGAAGGUUGGGUAACACCAACUGGAGGACCGAACCCAUACACGUUGCAAUGUGUCGGGAUGACUUGUGGCUAGGGGUGAAAGGCCAAUCAAACUUGGAAAUAGCUGGUUCUCUGCGAAAUCUAUUUAGGUAGAGCGUCAAUCGAAUACUCCGGGGGGUAGAGCACUGGAUGGGCUAUGGGGUCCCAACGACUUACUGAUCCUAACCAAACUCCGAAUACCCGGAAGUAAUAAUUGGCAGACACACUGCGGGUGCUAACGUCCGUAGUGGAGAGGGCAACAACCCUGACCUCCAGUUAAGGUCCCCAAGUCAUGGCUAAGUGGGAAAGGAUGUGAGAAUCCCAAAACAACCAGGAUGUUGGCUUAGAAGCAGCCAUCAUUUAAAGAAAGCGUAACAGCUCACUGGUCUAAAUAAGGGUUCUUGCGCCGAAAAUGUAACGGGGCUAAAGCCAUGCACCGAAACUGAGGGCACUAUUUAUAGUGCGGUAGCAGAGCGUUCUGUAAGCCUGCGAAGGGAUACUCGUGAGAGAUCCUGGAGGUAUCAGAAGUGCAAAUGUUGACAUGAGUAACGAUAAAGAGGGUGAGAGACCCUCUCGCCGAAAGACCAAGGGUUCCUGCUUAAAGUUAAUCUGAGCAGGGUUAGCCGGCUCCUAAGGCGAGGCCGAAAGGCGUAGUCGAUGGGAAUGCAGUUAAUAUUCUGCAGCCUGGUGGUAGUGACGGAUCUCGUAAAUUGUACAUCCUUAUUGGAUUGGUUGUGCAGUGAAGAGGUUCCAGGAAAUAGCUCCACCAUAUAGACCGUACCCCAAACCGACACAGGUGGUCAGGUAGAGAAUACUAAGGCGCUUGAGAGAACUAUGUUGAAGGAACUCGGCAAAUUGCACGCGUAACUUCGGAAGAAGCGUGACCUGUAUUUACGCAAGUAGAUAUAGGUGGCACAGACCAGGGGGUAGCGACUGUUUAUCAAAAACACAGGGCUCUGCGAAGUCGCAAGACGACGUAUAGGGUCUGACGCCUGCCCGGUGCUGGAAGGUUAAGAGGAGGAGUGCAAGCUCUGAAUUGAAGCCCCAGUAAACGGCGGCCGUAACUAUAACGGUCCUAAGGUAGCGAAAUUCCUUGUCGGGUAAGUUCCGACCUGCACGAAUGGCGUAACGACUUCCCCGCUGUCUCCAACAUAGACUCAGUGAAAUUGAAUUCCCCGUGAAGAUGCGGGGUUCCUGCGGUCAGACGGAAAGACCCCGUGCACCUUUACUAUAGCUUCACACUGGCAUUCGCCAAGGCAUGUGUAGGAUAGGUGGUAGGCUUUGAAACUCUCACGCCAGUGGGGGUGGAGCCAUCCUUGAAAUACCACCCUUAUCUUCGUGGAUGUCUAACUGCGGUCCGUUAUCCGGAUCCAGGACAGUGUGUGGUGGGUAGUUUGACUGGGGCGGUCGCCUCCUAAAGAGUAACGGAGGCGCGCGAAGGUAGGCUCAGACCGGUCGGAAAUCGGUCGUUGAGUGCAAUGGCAUAAGCCUGCCUGACUGCGAGACUGACAAGUCGAGCAGAGACGAAAGUCGGUCAUAGUGAUCCGGUGGUCCCGCGUGGAAGGGCCAUCGCUCAACGGAUAAAAGGUACGCCGGGGAUAACAGGCUGAUGACCCCCAAGAGUCCAUAUCGACGGGGUUGUUUGGCACCUCGAUGUCGGCUCAUCGCAUCCUGGGGCUGGAGCAGGUCCCAAGGGUUUGGCUGUUCGCCAAUUAAAGCGGUACGUGAGCUGGGUUCAGAACGUCGUGAGACAGUUCGGUCCCUAUCUGCCGUGGGCGUAGGAAUAUUGAUGGGAUCUGCCCCUAGUACGAGAGGACCGG
rnacentral:rRNA from 1 species